rnacentral:rRNA from 1 species
AUGACAGUUGAAUGUACGAAGUACCACUCACCCACUACUUUGAGCUUUUCUAGCAAGGAGGAAUCUGUGGCCUCCAUGGUCCUCCACUACAAGCACGGCUUCUCGGGCUUCGCCGCCAUGCUCACCCGAGACCAAGCCAAAAGACUUGCAGAGUUUCCUGGAGUUAUCAGCGUGGAGCCGAGCAGGAGGAUCAGGACGACCACCACGCGGAGCUGGGACUUCCUUGGGCUCAACUGCUCGUCCUCCCACUCACACGCGCCGCCCAGUGAGCUGCUCCACAUGAGCAACUGCGGAGAGGAUGUAAUCAUCGGUGUGGUUGACUCCGGUCCGUAUAUUUUAAUUGGUUAUGAAUGUGGUUGGGUGCAUCACUCUGUGCAAAGGGAUCUGGCCGGAGUCGAGGAGCUUCAGCGAUGUAGGGUAUGGGCCGGUGCCAUCAAGGCCUCCGGACCUGACUCGCUGUCGCCACGUGACCACACCGACCAUGGCACACAUUGUGCGUCCAUCGCAGCGGGCUCAGCCGUAGGCGUCGAGGAGGAGGCGGCAAGCUUCCAUGGCCUCGCCGCGGGGGUCGCACAGGGAGGUGCGCCGCGCGCUCGCAUCGCGAUGUACAAGAUCAUCUGGCGUGAUGAUGGCGCCAGCUCCACGGCACUCCUUCUGGCCGCCAUGGACGACGCGAUCCACGACGGGGUGGACGUAUUGUCGCUGUCCCUCGGUGAAUCGGACGAGAACUCAUUCGGCGCCUUGCACGCUGUCCAAAAAGGGAUUACCGUGGUGUACGCCGCCUCAAACGAAGGGCCCAGGCCACAGACCGUCAAGAACACUGCACCAUGGGUCAUCACCGUGGCGGCAAGCAAGAUCGACCGCUCGUUCCCGACGGUGAUCACAUGGGGAAACAAGCAGCAGAUGGUGGGACAAUCUCUCUAUUACCAAGUAAAGAACAACAACUCGUGUCAUCAAGGACCAGCAGUUUCAAAGAGCUUAAAUGUGUACCAUCUUCCCCCAAAACCUACGUUUUACAUGGGCUGCCACCGCCGGCGCCAUGACCGUUUCCGCUUCGGGCGCCGCCAACUCCGGGUCUAUCCCCGCGUCGCUUGCCGCCCUUCUCAACCUCCCACCUCGCCCCCUAGCUCCGUCCGUGCCUCAGUUCUUCGGCACCACCGCCGUCGGCUCCCUGUUUUCAGCGCUGAUCCCACCGUCACCGCCAGGGACGGCCUCAGCACCAAUCGCGUCGCCGCCGCCCGCGUGGCCUCCUCUGGAUCCUCCUCGACACUCGCCGUCAUCCCGGCGACCUCGGGGGAGACGCUGCCCGCGGAGCCACCCGCGGCCGUGAUCCCGAUCGUCCCCGCGCCGCCACCCGCGGCAUCGGUCGCGGUCGUGGAUCCUGUCGCGGCUCCGCCGCCAAUCGUCCCUGCUGCUGGCGCAAUCACGCCCACCGGGCCUUGUGCGCCGAUCCAUGGCGAAUUUGAUGGCAUGGACGUGAAAGGGGCUAUCGUCGUGUGCUCAAGCGAUCGGGCGGAGGAUUUCGCCCUUACGGCGCAGAACGUGGAGCAAGCCGGGGGAUCCGGGCUCAUCUUCGCGCAGUACACAACAGACACGAUCAGUUCGACGGUGGAUUACUGCUCGGGCAUCGCCUGCGUUAUCGUUGACGCCUACAUAUCCAGGAGGAUAUGCCAGUACACCCGCGACUCAAGCUCUCCACAGGCAAAGAUUGAACCAUCAAGCACCGUCACUGGCAAGAAGGUGUUGGCCCCUAAAGUGGCGUCAUUCUCCUCCAGAGGCCCGUUGACUGAUUACCCGGACUUCAUCAAGCCUGACAUAGCUGCGCCCGGAGCCAACAUCUUAGCAGCAGUGGGAGAUUCCUAUGCAACUAUGUCAGGGACGUCCAUGGCAACCCCACACGUAGCAGGAAUCGUCGCGCUGCUCAAAGCUCUCCAUUCAGAUUGGUCUCCUGCUGCAAUAAAAUCAGCCAUCAUCACCACCGCCCAUAUAACCGAUGAACGUGGCAUGCCCAUAUCGGCGGAAGGACUGCCGCGGAAGGUCGCCGACCCGUUCGACUAUGGAGGUGGGAACAUCAACCCUGGCGGGGCAGCUCAUCCAGGCCUAAUUUACGACAUCGAGCCACAAGAUUAUAACAAAUUCUUCCGAUGCGCCAUCAUCAAGAAGGGGCCAUCGACGCUUGCGAUAUGCAACAACACUGCUAUGCUACCAGCAUAUAACCUCAACAUGUCGUCCAUCUCGGUUCCUGAUUUGAGGGGUCCGAUCACCGUCACGAGGACGGUGACCAAUGUCGGCGAGGUCCAUUCUAUGUAUCAUGUUGUAGUCCAGAGCCCUGCCGGUGUCAAGAUGGAGGUUUGCCCGCCUGUUCUUGUGUUCGAUGAUGCGAACAAAGUCCGGAAAUAUGACGUGAAGUUGUCACCUAUGUGGAACUUGCAAGGGGACUACACGUUUGGCAGUGUUACUUGGCAGAACGACCGACAAGCAGUGAGGAUUCCAGUUGCAGCUCGGAUUACAAUUCAGGAUUUCUACGCGGGUGUUGCAUGA